GUGGCCUGAUAGUUAUGUACAGAAUAAUCUUAGAACUGUGCAGUUUAGAAAUCUCUGAAACAAUUACAGAAUGAUUGGAACUUUCCAGAAUGAUCCUAAUAAAAGAUGGGUUAUAUAAACUUCUACAUUUUACUAGAAACUUCUGUUGUAACUUUCUAGGAUGUUCCAUUAUAGACUGUUCUAGAAUCUUCCAUGACAACUAUAUAUAUACAGACACUAAAGUUAAACGAUCACUCUUGGACUUGGACUUAAACAUCGAUAGACAUUAAUAUUCAU
rnacentral:lncRNA from 1 species